rnacentral:lncRNA from 1 species
CCGAGUUCGCGGAGCUCAACGCGAGCGCCGCGGGAGACGCCGCCGCCGUGGAGGAGGACCUGCGCCACGCCUUCUCCGUCUUCGACCUCGACCGCAACGGCUCCAUCUCCGCCGACGAGCUCGCCCGCGUCCUCCGCGGGCUCGGCGAGGCCGCGUCCGUCGCGCAGUGCCGCCGCAUGAUCGACGGGGUCGACCGCGACGGCGACGGCCUCGUCUCCUUCGAGGAGUUCAAGGUCAUGAUGGCCAACGGCUCCUCCUCCGCCGCCGCCGCCAUCGCCGGCCUCGCCAAGAUCGGGUGAUCCCCCUCUCCCGCAAACCCUAACCCUACCUGAAUCAUACACACACAUGAUCUCGAUCGCUACUCUGCGUUUCUUCUUCUCUUU